AACGAACGCUGGCGGCAGGCUUAACACAUGCAAGUCGAACGGGUGUAGCAAUACAUCAGUGGCAGACGGGUGAGUAACACGUGGGAACCUUCCUAGGGGUACGGAACAACUCAGGGAAACUUGAGCUGAUACCGUAUACGUCCGUGAGGAGAAAGAUUUAUCGCCCUUAGACGGGCCCGCGUCGGAUUAGCUAGUUGGUGGGGUAACGGCCUACCAAGGCGACGAUCCGUAGCUGAUCCUAGAGGAUGAUCAGCCACACUGGGACUGAGACACGGCCCAGACUCCUACGGGAGGCAGCAGUGGGGAAUCUUGGACAAUGGGCGCAAGCCUGAUCCAGCCAUGCCGCGUGAGUGAAGAAGGUCUUCGGAUUGUAAAGCUCUUUUGCCAGGGACGAUAAUGACGGUACCUGGAGAAUAAGCCCCGGCAAACUUCGUGCCAGCAGCCGCGGUAA
rnacentral:rRNA from 1 species